rnacentral:rRNA from 1 species
AUUGAACGCUGGCGGCAUGCUUUACACAUGCAAGUCGAACGGCAGCGCGGGGCAACCUGGCGGCGAGUGGCGCACGGGUGAGUAAUACAUCGGAACGUACCCAGAAGUGGGGGAUAACGUAGCGAAAGUUACGCUAAUACCGCAUACGUUCUACGGAAGAAAGUGGGGGACCUUCGGGCCUCAUGCUUUUGGAGCGGCCGAUGUCUGAUUAGCUAGUUGGUGAGGUAAAGGCUCACCAAGGCGACGAUCAGUAGCUGGUCUGAGAGGACGACCAGCCACACUGGGACUGAGACACGGCCCAGACUCCUACGGGAGGCAGCAGUGGGGAAUUUUGGACAAAGGGCGCAAGCCUGAUCCAGCAAUGCCGCGUGAGUGAAGAAGGCCUUCGGGUUGUAAAGCUCUUUUGUCAGGGAAGAAACGGCUGAGGAUAAUACCUUCGGCUAAUGACGGUACCUGAAGAAUAAGCACCGGCUAACUACGUG